rnacentral:rRNA from 1 species
GACGGAGGGUGCAAGCGUUGUUCGGAUUGACUGGGCGUAAAGGGCGUGUAGGCGGUUGGUCAAGUCUGAUGUGAAAGCCCGGGGCUCAGCCCCGGAAGGGCAUCGGAAACUAGCCAGCUGGAGCGCGAUAGAGGAGGGUGGAAGUUCCUGGAUGUGAGCGGUGGAAAUGACGUAGAUAUCAGGAGGAACACCGGCGGCGAAGGCGGCCCUCUGGAUCGUUGCUGACGCUGAGACGCGAAAGCGUGGGGAGCAAACAGG